GCAAAUUCAUCCUGCAUGAAGAAGGGAAAAAGGAGCAAGAAGCAGUGAAAUAGUUUGAAAAUGUUUGAUUUCAACAGCAGAUGGCACAGCAUAAAUCAUACAUUUGCUCCUUGGCAUAUAUUUAAAAUGUCAUCCAUGAGGAGAGCUCUAUUGAUAUAUAAUCUCUAACAUAACCUUCCUUUUACACAAAUGGGGAUGACAAAGUAAUGGCAAUCACAGGGUAAUUUGGUUAGUCAUUAGUAUUUUUUUUUCAGUGUUAUGUCAAUUGGACAGCAACUAGGUUACUAAUCCAUCCAAAUUUACCACUCAUUUAGCAGCUGAUAUGGCAAAG
rnacentral:misc_RNA from 1 species